GCUGGAUUUGCUCAUGUUGGCUUGAGCACCUACCUAGUAAGUAGGAGUACGUCGGUUCGAUUCCGACAUCCAGCCCCA
rnacentral:tRNA from 5 species